rnacentral:rRNA from 1 species
CAAUAGCGUAUAUUAAAGUUGUUGCAGUUAAAAAGCUCGUAGUUGGAUUUGUGGCGUACGGUGUGUUCCGGGCACUUGUUGCCUGAGUAACCUGCUGUUGCCAUCCUUGGGUGGAACCUGUGUGGCAUUAGGUUGUCGUGCAGGGGAUGCCCAUCAUUUACUGUGAAAAAAUUAGAGUGUUCAACGCAGGCUUAUGCCGUUGAAUAUAUUAGCAUGGAAUAAUGAGAUAGGACUUUUUUGCUAUUUUGUUGGUUUGCGCAAAGAGGUAAUGAUUAAUAGGGACAGUUGGGGGUAUUCGUAUUCCAUUGUCAGAGGUGAAAUUCUUGGAUUUUUGGAAGACGAACUACUGCGAAAGCAUUUACCAAGGAUGUUUUCAUUAA